rnacentral:rRNA from 1 species
GGGGGGGGGGGGGGGGGGGGGGGGGGGGGGCGGGGGGGGGGGGGGGGGGCGGCGGGGGGGGGGGGCUCGGGGGGCGGGCGGGGGCGUGAGGCGGGGGUAGCCGUGCCUCGCGUGUGGGGUGGCUGCGGUAGGCGGGGCCUAGUACCGGAUAGGCGCUCCGGCUGGGUUGGUGGGGGUGGCAAUGUUCUACGGUUGGGGCUGGACGCGCGGCUUAUCCGCCUGUUGGUGGGGUAGUGGCUUACCAAGGCUUUGCCGGGUAGCCGGCCUGAGAGGGUGACCGGCCACAUUGGGACUGAGAUACGGCCCAGACUCCUACGGGAGGCAGCAGUGGGGAAUAUUGCACAAUGGGCGGAAGCCUGAUGCAGCAACGCCGCGUGCGGGAUGACGGCCUUCGGGUUGUAAACCGCUUUCGCCUGUGACGAAGCGUGAGUGACGGUAAUGGGUAAAGAAGCACCGGCUAACUACGUG